UCGGGUGUGGUGCAUGGUGCACGGCGGCUGCAUUUAGUUGUCGGGGUUUGUACUAAGCCACAGACCGGGGUUCGACUCCCCGCGCCCGAC